AGCUUUAUUAGGGUUAAUAGAUAUAGAAGAGAAAGAGCAUAGUGAAGAAAAAAAUAUAUUUAUUAUUGAAAGAGGAUGUUGUUAUAUAUUGUUUAGAAUUUACACAAGUGGCUCAUUAAUUUUUCUACUCUCUUGUUGAUCACAGCAAAUUGACAUGGUAGAAAAAUCUAAGAAUUUUGAAGAAUAUCUAUGCCAUCUUUCAACUUCUAAUUCCCAAGUAAGCCUAAACUCAUUCUAAUUUAUUAUUCUUUGUUUCCCUUCUAUGACUAAUAUUAUUACUGGUGAUGAAAAUAGAAUGACCUGAUAAAAGAAUAUGAAAACUUUGAGGAAGAUCAAAGCAAUCCUUGUAAGAAACAAAAGAGACAUGGAACAUAGGUAGGGAACUACGUCUCACGUCAAUGACUAAUGACAAGUAGGUUUUAGGGGAAAAUCAUGGAGAUCCAAAGUAAGAAAACGAGCCAAUUGGCUAAUCGGAGGCAACUGAAAGAACAAAAAUUGGAUAAAAGUGGAGCUUGUAGAAGAAAGACAAAAAUUGUGGAAUAGUCCCUAAGAAGCCAACUCGUUUUGUGUUUUGAAAGAUCAAGAACCAAAGAAAUCGGAGUUGGAUCGGGGAAAAGCUAAAGUCGUCGACUAAUCGUCCAGUUUCGAUUUUUCAUUAUUCGAGGUAAGUCUAUUAGCUAUUUAAUGUUAUUAAAUCGGUAUAUAUGUAUGUAAAUGUAUUGUAUUUUUGUUGAAAUUUAAUUUAAAAGUAUAUUGAUUGAAAUAAAAUAAAGUAUGAAUGAUAUACAUGUAUUAUUAAUGUUCGAAUAUAUAUAGGUUUAUACUUAUA